UCAAGAAAUAAUAGAAGAAAAAUGCACACUCAUAAGCGCCAAUGCCCAUAUAGGUGUGUGUAUGUGUGUGUUUGUAUGUGGGGUUGAGAGGUGAAGCCAGCUGGCCUUUCUGAGUCGGGUGGGAGAACUUGGAGAACUUUUCUGUCUAGCUAAAUGAUUGUAAAUGCACCAAUCAGCACUCUGUAAAAACGCACCAAUCAGCACUCUGUGUCUAGCUAAAGGUUUGUAAAUGCACCAAUCAGCACUCUGUAAAAACGGACCAAUCAGCACUCUGUAAAAUGGGCCAAUCAGCAGGAUGUGGGCGGGGCCAAAUAAGGGAAUAAAAGCUGGCAACCCGAGCCAGCAGCUGGCAACCCACUUGGGUUGCCUUCCACGCUGUGGAAGCUUCGUUCUUUCUCUCUUCACAGUAAAUCUUGCUGCUGCUCACUGUUUGGGUCCGCACUACCUUUAGGAGCUGUAACACUCACUGUGAAGGUGUGUGGCUUCACCCCUGAAGUCAGCGAGACCACGAACCCACUGGGAGGAAUGAACAACUCCGGACGUGUCACCUUUAAGAGCUGUAACACUCACUGCGAAGGUCUGCGGCUUCACUCCUGAAGUCCAGCGAGACCACGAACCCACUGGAAGGAAGAAACUCUGGACACAUCUGAAGGAACAAACUCCGAACACACUAUCUUUAAGAACUGUAACACUCACCACGAGGGUCCGCGGCUUCAUUCUUGAAGUCAGCGAGAUCAAGAACCCACCCGAAGGAACCAAUUCCGGACACAGGGUGGAGGAGGGGGUGAAGGUUAAUGUGCAAUUUCUAGAUGAGAAUGCCUGUGGCUUCUCUUAGCCACAUGCAAGUGAACAAGCACUGGCAGAGAGACAGAUGGCUUAGCUUGCCCAGAGCAGCCCCCGUGCUCUUAGGGAAGGAAAAGAGCCCACUUCACUUCACUUCAGUUCCUCCUUUCCCCAGCAAGAUCUGGCACAUUUCAGAAGUUGCUGACGUGUUGAUGCCUGCUAAAACACGACGUGGGAAGAAGAAUGAAUGUGGGCAAGCUCGGCUAGCCACUCAGAGGGAAAUGAUCUCAUUUCUCCUGCUGGGCAACCCCCAGUUGCUGGAUUGUCUUAAUGGCACUUAGAAAACCAGACUUACAUGGGAAAGUAAGUUAUCCAAGCAGACACCCAGAAUUGCUUGGCAUACUGUAUAACAACUGGCAAAUUAACCUUCUCACACUCGGAUAAUACUGCAGAAUUUAAGGAGCAACUGUAUCUGCCUCCAUGCAGCUGUCUAGUUUGCUAAUGCAUGUUCCUAAAAUAAAAAAAAAAAACACUGACACACAUACUGUCUUUUUCCUUUCAACAAUCCAGCUACUCAGUCCUUCUUGAAGUCCAUUUUCGUAAACACUUUGCUGAUCAAGAAGUGUCUGAAGAUGGGAAGACGGAGAAAGCUUGUAUUGUUUACUGAGUAUCAGAGGACACUUCCUUCAAGUGACCUAAGGCAUGUGUGAGUGCUAUCCUAUGAG
rnacentral:lncRNA from 1 species